rnacentral:rRNA from 1 species
UGCGCGUAAAUUGCCCGAAUCCUGACACAGGGAGGUAGUGACAAGAAAUAACAAUACAGGGCUACUUCUAGUCUUGUAAUUGGAAUGAGUACAACUUACAUCUCUUCACGAGGAUCAAUUGGAGGGCAAGUCUGGUGCCAGCAGCCGCGGUAAUUCCAGCUCCAAUAGCGUAUAUUAAAGUUGUUGCAGUUAAAAAGCUCGUAGUCGGAUUUCGGGGCGGGCCGAGCGGUCUGCCGAUGGGUAUGCACUGUUCGGCGCGUCCUUCUUUCCGGAGACUAGUUCUACUCUUAACUGAGCGGGACUGGGAGACGGAUCGUUUACUUUGAAAAAAUCAGAGUGUUUCAAGCAGGCAGCUCGCUCUUGCAUGGAUUAGCAUGGGAUAAUGAAAUAGGACUCUGGUGCUAUUUUGUUGGUUUCGAACACCGGAGUAAUGAUUAACAGGGACAGUCAGGGG